rfam:Picea glauca, whole genome shotgun sequence.
GAAACGGUGUCUUUAGACACCACCAAUCUUCCUUGAAGUUUAUUA